UACGUAGGGGGCGAGCGUUGUUCGGAAUCACUGGGCAUAAAGCGCACGUAGGCGGCGACGUAAGUUGGGUGUGAAAUCCCUCGGCCCAACCGAGGAACUGCGCCCAGUACUGCGUUGCUUGAGGAUCCAAGGGGUGCAUGGAAUUCCCGGUGGAGCGGUGAAAUGCGUUGAUAUCGGGAGGAACUCCGGCGGCGUAGGCAGCGCCCUGGCUGUGAAUAAAGCUGACACUGAGGCACGAAAGCUGGGGGAGCAAACAGG
rnacentral:rRNA from 1 species